CCUACGGGUGGCAGCAGUGGGGAAUAUUGCACAAUGGGCGAAAGCCUGAUGCAGCAACGCCGCGUGAACGAUGAAGGCCUUCGGGUCGUAAAGCUCUGUCCUCAAGGAAGAUAAUGACGGUACGUGUGGAUUAUUCCCCGGCAAAUUUCGUGCCAGCAGCCGGGGUAAUAGGUAGGGGGCUAGGGUUAUCCGGAAUUACGGGGCGUAAUGGGUGCGUAGGGGGUUUCUUAAGUCAGAGGUAAGAGGCUAGGGCUAAACCGUAGUAAGCCUUUGACACUGGGGAACUUGAGUGCAGGAGAGGAGAGUGGAAUUCCUGGUGUAGCGGUGAAAUGCGUAGAUAUUAGGAAGAACACCAGUUGCGAAGGCGGCUCUCUGGACUGUAACUGACACUGAGGCACGAAAGUGUGGGGAGCAAACAGGAUUAGAUACCCUUGUAGUC
rnacentral:rRNA from 1 species